GUGGAUACGAUAAGGAAGACAUAGCAGCUAGAGCUUAUGAAUUAGCAGCCCUCAAGUAUUGGGGUCCCACCACCACCACAAACUAUCCGGUUUGCAACUAUGAGAAAGAGCUUGAAGAAAUGAACAACAUGACUAGGCAAGAAAUAUGGAUUAAACUGCCAAUAAUGGUUUUAGAUUAAGAAAACCGAACCGACCAGGUGUCCUCUUUAUUCUUUGGUUCAAUCCAUGUGCACAACUCACUAUCACUUGUUCUUUUCAUUUGUGGAUUUCUGCCUUUGACAUAGGUAUGUAGAACUAAUUUUCUUGCAAUUUGAUUAUAAUACGUUCGAUAAUUACAUUAUCUGUUUCUGGUUUCUCUUCAUAUGUUUGCUUUAGACUUAGUUUUAAGGACGAGCACAAGCUCAAAAACACCUAAAUUUAUAACUACUAAAUUCCAUAAACAAGUGUAUAUUUUCUACUUUAUUUAAUUUUUCUGCAGCUUCUAUUUGUCUUGGUAUACCGAAUUACAUUGUUGGAAUUGAACCUUAACAGAGGAAUAGUUGACUAAGGCCAAAACCGGUUCAGAGCAGUGGAACCAGAAUAAUCAGUUGUUAGGCUUCAGACUUUCCCCUUGACAGUGGUUCAAACAACUGCUGAUCUAUAUUUCAGAUUUGUUUUAUCUACUGCUUAGCACAACAGCUGAUGUGAAGACUAAAAGAAUGCCAAAUACUAAGUACUGCUCUUCGAACUAUUGGCUUCAGUCAAGCAUUGCUGAGAAGACCAAAGCCCUGCUUGGAAUAAAGCAGUGGAAUAAAGAAACAGUUGUUUACUUUGUCUUAUUGUAAUAGGAUCAGUUGUUAGAUAACAAUGGAUGUAUAGAUCAGUUCUUAGAGUUAGUUGUUA